rnacentral:rRNA from 1 species
GAUGAACGCUGGCGGCGUGCCUAAUACAUGCAAGUCGAGCGAACAGACGAGGAGCUUGCUCCUCUGACGUUAGCGGCGGACGGGUGAGUAACACGUGGAUAACCUACCUAUAAGACUGGGAUAACUUCGGGAAACCGGAGCUAAUACCGGAUAAUAUAUUGAACCGCAUGGUUCAAUAGUGAAAGACGGUUUUGCUGUCACCUAUAGAUGGAUCCGCGCCGCAUUAGCUAGUUGGUAAGGUAACGGCUUACCAAGGCAACGAUGCGUAGCCGACCUGAGAGGGUGAUCGGCCACACUGGAACUGAGACACGGUCCAGACUCCUACGGGAGGCAGCAGUAGGGAAUCUUCCGCAAUGGGCGAAAGCUUGACGGAGCAACGCCGCGUGAGUGAUGAAGGUCUUCGGAUCGUAAAACUCUGUUAUUAGGGAAGAACAAAUGUGUAAGUAACUAUGCACGUCUUGACGGUACCUAAUCAGAAAGCCACGGCUAACUACGUG